rnacentral:misc_RNA from 1 species
UUGGAGGUUUUGGCACCUGCA